GACGAACGCUGGCGGCGUGCCUAAUACACGCAAGUCGAGCGGACUGAUUAAGAGCUUGCUCUUAUGACGUUAGCGGCGGACGGGUGAGUAACACGUGGGCAACCUGCCCUGUAGAUCGGGAUAACACCGAGAAAUCGGUGCUAAUACCGGGUAAUAUCUGAGAUCACAUGAUCUUAGGUUAAAAGAUGGCUCCGGCUAUCACUACAGGAUGGGCCCGCGGCGCAUUAGCUAGUUGGUAAGGUAAUGGCUUACCAAGGCGACGAUGCGUAGCCGACCUGAGAGGGUGAUCGGCCACACUGGGACUGAGACACGGCCCAGACUCCUACGGGAGGCAGCAGUAGGGAAUCUUCCGCAAUGGACGAAAGUCUGACGGAGCAACGCCGCGUGAGUGAUGAAGGGUUUCGGCUCGUAAAGCUCUGUUGUUAGGGAAGAAACAGUACCGAACGAACUAGGUCGGUACCUUGACGGUACCUAACCAGAAAGCCACGGCUAACUACGUG
rnacentral:rRNA from 1 species